GUAGAGGCUUCCUAUGUGGCUUUUUAUAGUUGAAAAGUGUUGCCCUAGGUCAUACUUACUGCCCAAGAGGUAUUUUCUGCCCAAGAUGUGUCUAAAAAGGAAAGAAUCGCGCUUUUCGGCUUCAGAAGGAAGGCUGCGCGAAAAUGCACUGCGGAAGGAAGUUGGUGCGCGCGGUUUGGUCUCAGAAAGGGAAGGAGGCGCAGAUUAUG
rnacentral:lncRNA from 1 species